AAUAUAAGUCAACAGAUCUUAAUUACAUGUUCAGCUUGGAUUUAAUUUAAAUGUAAAUCAUGAACGCCUUGUUGUUUUGAUGUUUCUGGACUAAAUAAACUUUAUUUACUGGUCAGAAUCCAGAUAAUUACAAACUGGUCUCUACAGAAACAGACGCUCGGCCUUCAGCAAAAAACAACCAGUCAGAUGCACUUUUCUGUUUAAAAACCAUCUAGUUUCAACCAUGUUUAUCUUUCAAGUCCCUUACUCAACUAUGAACCAUUUACUUAAAGAAAGUUGUAAAAUUGUAAAAUAAAAACAGAAUUUUCCUGCAUUUUUCAAAUUUCUCUGAUGCGUUUUGAAAAAAACAAAACAAACAAAAAGCAGUAAAGCUGAACAGAUAAUGUGCAGUGGUAGCAUAAAACAACAUAGUGAUCGAAUUGUGUAUCGACAUGCAAGAACAGCUCAGUGUGGCGACACGCCCGUCUGCCGGGCGUCAUCCUGAAUGAUGUCACAGCGUCAUGGCAGCUCAGCUUCACAUACAUGGAGGGGAAAAUCAGCAGUCUCUCAGUCCACUGAACAAUACAGAAUAUAAGCAAGCAAAGAGCUUAGUCAUUACAUCUUGAUACCAUCAUAAACCACACAUUCUGUUAAAAUGUACAUUUUCUGCGUGCAACUAAUAUCACAUUUUCUACGUUAGACUAAAACAAUAAGGACGUCCCGUUGCAGAUUUAAAUAAUCCCUUCACUCCUUUCAGAGCCUGAGAUUUAUUGCUGGUGUUUUUCAGAGAAGAAGAGCAACACAUAGAAAACAUUUGAAACCCAUUACAUCAGAGCAGUAAACUGUAACAGAUGCAUGUUUUCUGACUGCUGGUUGAAUACAAACAAGUUUCAGACAAACUCAACAGAUUUCUGAAUUAAAAGCUCCCAUUCCAUCAAUAUUCUGCAGGUAAAUCUGUAAAUGUAACCAUCAAAAGUUAAAUAAACUCAUGUUAUUUUAAAACUCAAACUUCACAUUUCACUUUACGCUCAUUCAUUCUGCAACAUUUCUCUGUUGGAUCAUAAAUUAAGGAACAAAAACUCUGAAGAGCCGACUCUUUCUAGUGAUCCGAGCCAAAACAACGACAGGAACCGAAAAUAAUUCUGUUCAUCCAAACUGAUCUAGAACAGGAAAGUCUAAAUUCACGAUAAUGAGGAAGAGAAGAUUUUGGGUCCAACGGUGUCGGCCUUCUGUCAGCAAGUUAACGGGAUAAUGAUGGAUAAAUUAUUUUUAUAUUCUGGUUGACAUCCAGCUAGAACUUCCAGUAACUGGUUCAGAUUUUAUGUUUGAGUUGCUGAACGGUCAGAAGUCUGAGGAGCCUUCAUUCAACCCUUUAGCUGUUCCACCUCUGAUGAUCCAGGCAGCACAUUUCUUCUGACAGUUAGACUUUCUGAAAGCGUGGCGUCACACGGCGGGGGGUUUGCAGCGUUUCCUCUGAAAGCUGAAUGGAAGAGCAGCUUUGCAGCCUUGAACCCUUCAGAGAACCGAGAGCAGGACUUCUUCAGACUUUAAGAUGCAGUUGUUCAUGAAUCAUGUCGACAUGCUCAGAGGUGAGGACGGUUCCUGUCACGCAGCUUUCAGGUUCAUGUUUACCUGUGCUGAACACAAUUAGAGGGAAAAGCAGCUUUCUGACAUCUGAGUGCUGGAAUCCAGUCAGAACGCCUCCAUGAUUGAUUUACUGCCUGUUUCUGUGCAGAGUGACUGAUUAGCUCCCCGCUGGGUUCCAGCUGAUUUACAUGAGGGAAAUAUUCUUAGCACAACUGCAGAACCGUGAAUAAUUAAACACAUCAACGAUACAGAGGGGGAAAAAAAACAUUUAAAAAGAAACUUUCUGAAUCAAGGUUUAUUUUAAAUCAGUUUCUCAGGUGCAAACAGGGAGAAUAAACAUGAUAAACAUCCAGAAUAAAAAAUAACGGAACCUCCAAAGGAGCAGAACCAAGGAACCCAAAGACCCAGUUAAGCACCAGUACAUCUCAGACUUAGAAAUUAAAAUAUUGUGUUAAAGUGCAACAUGUCCAGCCAGUCGUCUUAGAAAGUCAGUCAAUUUUUUAUCUUAUUUUAUUCAAGAUUAUUACACAUAUAUCAAGCUUUUAUUUUGUUAGUUUUAAUGAUUAUGGUUCACAAUUUAAGAAAACCUGAAGUGUCUUAGAAAAUAAGAGCAUCACAAACUAAUCAAAAGUAGAUGUUAAGCUCUAAAGUCAGGUUUCUGAAAAUUAUCUAUAGUUACCCAUAAUCAUCAAAAUUACAAAUUAUUUCACAAACAAAGGCCUGUAGAAUAUCACUGUGCGAGACGACCAGCAAGAAAUAUUAAACUUUUAUGAUGCAUUAAAUAUAUUUUCAGAUGAGAAAAAAACACUGAAACACUUUCUGACAGCAGAGUCGGCUGUGAUGUUCGUCAGCUUCAAGUUGAUUCUGGAAGGAGAUAAAGUGCAGCAGGACCGGUCCAGAACCGAACCGGACCGGGUCCAGAGCCGAACCGGGUCCAGACCAGGAGCCAGUUAAUCUCAUCAGUUCCAGAACCUCUCGGUUCUUCUGGGUCCAGAUCUACAUCGUAGAAUUAUUUCUGACCUUCAGAUCUGCAGGAAUCUUCAGCCUGAAGGUUCAUUUCAGCGGAUCAUUAAAUUAACUGCUUUAAAAUAUUAAUAUCAAAUAGUUUUAAAUUUAAUUUGUUGGUAUUUUGUUGCAGGUGUUACAGGAUUUCCUGCCGUUUAGAGGCGCAGUGUGACGGUCACCGUUUGGUUUAAUCUGUUUUUGUUGCGGUUUUGGGAGGAGGCGGCGUCUGACGGCCAUGUUGGCGGUCCGGAGACGACAUGCGACACCAGGAGGCCCGGAGGAGACGGCAUGAGCAGGAAGGAGGGAAACGGCUCUUCUGGGCUCUCAGGCUGCAGCCACCACUGUUCUUUAUUAAAGAUUUUUUAUUAUAAUAAAUGUCUUCAACAGGGCUGAAAAUAAUUUUGCUAUGGAUGCAACAAAUGAUUCCCCUGAACAUGAUAACUCAGAGCUUCAAGACUAUGUGAAGUCCAGAUGGUUCAGAAAGAUCAAACUAUGGUAGAAGAUAAUGUGACUUUAUAGCAGCUCUCUGUGGAGAAAACAUUAAAUAAACUAUAUUAGGACAAACGAGGGAACUCUAAACAGAUUGCACAUUAAAAUAACGAGGAAGGGCUUGAGUGCUUCUCGUGUCAUGAGGGCAGAGUCAUAUGAUCAUAAA